GGGCCCGCACAAGCGGUGGAGCAUGUGGUUUAAUUCGAAGCAACGCGAAGAACCUUACCAGGUCUUGACAUCCUUUGACCACUCUAGAGAUAGAGCUUUCCCCUUCGGGGGGACAAAGUGACAGGUGGUGCAUGGUUGUCGUCAGCUCGUGUCGUGAGAUGUUGGGUUAAGUCCCGCAACGAGCGCAACCCUUAUCUUAGUUGCCAUCAUUAGGUUGGGCACUCUAGAGAGACUGCCGGUGACAAACCGGAGGAAGGUGGGG
rnacentral:rRNA from 1 species